rnacentral:lncRNA from 1 species
GCCCGGCCCCUGCUCGUGGACAUCGCCCAGCUCGUGCUCGUGGACGUCACCCGAUCUGCAGCAAGGUGAGCACCACAUCCCCUAGAAUCAUGGUAGCCUAGAAUCAUGGUUUAGGAGCUUUGAGUCAUGGAUUAGGAUUUGGAAUCGCCAAUCUGUUUCUAUGCAAUCAUGAACAAAAACUCUCUGUCUAGAUGGAGAACAAAGGAAAGGGCAGGGGAAAGAGCAACGAAACUGAAAAGGUUGUAUGCCAAGCAGAUUGGGAAAAUCCUGAAAUGACUACAAUUUUUCGUAACAUUGUUGUUGAGGAGAUUGAAGCUGGGAAUACUGAAAUGACUACAAUUUUUCGUAACAUUGUUGUUGAGGAGAUUGAAGCUGGGAAUAGGCAUCUACGUACACUGAAUGCAAGAGGCUAUAAGAACUUGC